rnacentral:rRNA from 1 species
CAGCAGCCGCGGUAAUACGAAGGGUGCAAGCGUUACUCGGAAUUACUGGGCGUAAAGCGUGCGUAGGUGGUGGUUUAAGUCCGUUGUGAAAGCCCUGGGCUCAACCUGGGAAUUGCAGUGGAUACUGGGUCACUAGAGUGUGGUAGAGGAUAGUGGAAUUUCCGGUGUAGCAGUGAAAUGCAUAGAGAUCGGAAGGAACAUCUGUGGCGAAGGCGACUAUCUGGGCCAACACUGACGCUGAGGCACGAAAGCGUGGGGAGCAAACAGGAUUAGAUACCCCCGUAGUCCCUGUCUCUUAUAC